GUUGUUGUCACAGCCCGGCCUGCCCCAACCUGCCUCAUAGGAAGCAUCGGAGACACUCCACCAGCUUCACCCAUGGCUUCCCUCAACCUGGGGCCAAGGCAGCAUCUGGUGCAGAGCUGAGGCAGGGGAGAGAUGUCCUUGGAGCCAACAUACGUGUUUAGCCUGGAUCCUCUGUGCCUGAGCAACUCAGGCUUCUUCCACGUGGCAGGGGCAGGGUGAGGCCACAGACAGCUCCAGCUCACAUCAACCCAGCUAAUGGCUUCACAGGAAAGAGGGAAGCAAAAUCCCAGAGAAGUCUGAUUGGCCCAGCCUGGAUCUCAUGGCUGUGGGCAGCGGAAAAGCUGAGGGAGCUGGAGAACAGCUGCCAUCCUCUCCCUGCUCGCAUCUGUUCUGCCUCAUUCCAAAGGGAGCCAAUGGCUAAAGGGGGCCUGUAUUGGUCAGGCCCUGCAGAGAAACAGAACCCAUAGGUUGUGUAUGCAUGUAUAGGUAGGUAGGGAGACAGAGAGUGGGGAGAGAGAGAUUCGAGAAAUUGGCUCAUGUGAUUACAGAGGCUGGCAAGGCCAAAAUUUGCAGGGUGGGUGAUACAGUUUGGCUGUGUCCCCACCCAAAUCUCAUCUUGAAUUGUAGCUCCCAUAAUUCCCAUGUGUCAUGGGAAGGACCCCAUGGGAGGUAAUUGAAUCAUGGGGCUGAGUCUUUCCCAUGUUGUUCUCAUGAUAGUGAAUAAGUCUCAGGAGAUCUGAUGGUUUUAUAAAAGGGACUUCCCUGCACAAGCUCCCUCUUGCCUGCUGCCAUGGAAGACAUGCCUUUGCUCCUUUGCCUUCCACUGUGAUUGUGAGGCCUCCCCAGCCUCGUGGAACUGUCAGUCCAUUAAACCUCUUUUUCUUUAUAAA
rnacentral:lncRNA from 1 species